AGAACGAACGCUGGCGGCAUGCCUAAUACAUGCAAGUCGAACGAACUCUUCGGAGUUAGUGGCGCACGGGUGCGUAACGCGUGGGAAUCUGCCCCUUGGUUCGGAAUAACAGUUGGAAACGACUGCUAAUACCGGAUGAUGACGAAAGUCCAAAGAUUUAUCGCCAAGGGAUGAGCCCGCGUAGGAUUAGCUAGUUGGUGAGGUAAAGGCUCACCAAGGCGACGAUCUGUAGCUGGUUUGAGAGGACGACCAGCCACACUGGGACUGAGACACGGCCCAGACUCCUACGGGAGGCAGCAGUGGGGAAUUUGGACAAUGGGGGAAACCCUGAUCCAGCCAUCCCGCGUGUGCGACGAAGGCCUUCGGGUUGUAAGCACUUUGCAGGGAAGAAACGGCGUGCCCUAAUACGGACGUCGACUGACGGUACCUGCAGAAUAAGCACCGGCUAACUACGUGCCAGCACGCCGC
rnacentral:rRNA from 1 species